UGCCAGUCUUGCCAUCCCUCAAGGGAUUAGCUACACUAACUCCCUAACAUUCCUCCUAUCGGCCUUUAUUCAAGCUUUGUGCCUCCUCUGGUUUAUGCCAUUUUCGGUAGUUCAAGAGAUCUCACCGUGGGGACUGUUGCUGCUGCGCCAUUGCUCCUCGCUUCAAAUAUUAGAGAUUUAAUAUCCGCCACAAACGACCCUACAUUGUAUCUUGGAUUGAUUUUUACAUGCGCUUUCUUCACCGAAAAUUUUCAAUUGGCUUUAGGGAUUUUCAGAUUAGGAUUUUUGAUACAUUUCUUGUCUCAUUCAA